AACAGUCUUUUCAGUCUUCAUGAAUUUCAUGUAGUUUAAAUGUUCUGAGUUAAUGCAUAAUUUGGGUUACAGUUAAAAAGGAAAAUCAUUCCAUGUCCUACUUCCAUGUCAUUCUGUUAUUUCAACAUUAUCACUGACAGUUUAAAUGAAAUGUUGAAUUUAGGAUCAUUUAAAAAUGCACUUCUUUUGAGAUUUUUUCCUUCCACGAAAUGCUGAAAAUAUCACUCCAAACAU